rnacentral:misc_RNA from 1 species
GGGGGAUCCGGUCAACAGGUAAUCGAAGAGUAUAUUUAAAAAAUGCGGAUCUAGGCAACGGUAACUCGUUGAAGAAUAAGAAUCUAGAGAAAACUUACACUGUUCGAAAGGCAAUACUUGAAUCGAAGGUUGAG